GACGAACGCUGGCGGCGUGCUUAACACAUGCAAGUCGAACGGAAAGGCCCUGCUUGCCGGGUACUCGAGUGGCGAACGGGUGAGUAACACGUGGGUGAUCUGCCCUGCACUUCGGGAUAAGCUUGGGAAACUGGGUCUAAUACCGGAUAGGAACCAUCUUUAGUGUGGUGGUUGGAAAGUUUUUUCGGUGUAGGAUGAGCUCGCGGCCUAUCAGCUUGUUGGUGGGGUAAUGGCCUACCAAGGCGGCGACGGGCAGCCGGCCUGAGAGGGUGUACGGCCACAUUGGGACUGAGAUACGGCCCAGACUCCUACGGGAGGCAGCAGGGGGGAAUAUUGCACAAUGGGCGCAAGCCUGAUGCAGCGACGCCGCGUGGGGGAUGAAGGCCUUCGGGUUGUAAACUCCUUUCGCUAGGGACGAAGCUUUGUUGUGACGGUACCUAGAGAAGAAGCACCGGCUAACUACGUG
rnacentral:rRNA from 1 species